UACGUAGGGUGCGAGCGUUGUCCGGAUUUAUUGGGCGUAAAGCGAGCGCAGGCGGCCCGUUAAGACAGGUGUGAAAUCCCUGGGCUCAACCUAGGAAUUGCGCUUGUGACUGGCGGGCUCGAGUACGGUAGAGGGGGGUGGAAUUCCUGGUGUAGCAGUGAAAUGCGUAGAGAUCAGGAGGAACACCGAUGGCGAAGGCAGCCCCCUGGGCCUGUACUGACGCUCAUGCACGAAAGCGUGGGGAGCAAACAGG
rnacentral:rRNA from 1 species